rnacentral:piRNA from 1 species
UUCCAUGUUGCUUUUUGCAAA